rnacentral:rRNA from 1 species
GGUUAAGCGACUAAGCGUACACGGUGGAUGCCCUGGCAGUCAGAGGCGAUGAAGGACGUGCUAAUCUGCGAUAAGCGUCGGUGAGGUGAUAUGAACCGUUAUAACCGGCGAUUUCCGAAUGGGGAAACCCAGUGUGUUUCGACACACUAUCAUUAACUGAAUCCAUAGGUUAAUGAGGCGAACCGGGGGAACUGAAACAUCUAAGUACCCCGAGGAAAAGAAAUCAACCGAGAUUCCCCCAGUAGCGGCGAGCGAACGGGGAGGAGCCCAGAGCCUGAAUCAGUGUGUGUGUUAGUGGAAGCGUCUGGAAAGGCGCGCGAUACAGGGUGACAGCCCCGUACACAAAAAUGCACAUACUGUGAGCUCGAUGAGUAGGGCGGGACACGUGGUAUCCUGUCUGAAUAUGGGGGGACCAUCCUCCAAGGCUAAAUACUCCUGACUGACCGAUAGUGAACCAGUACCGUGAGGGAAAGGCGAAAAGAACCCCGGCGAGGGGAGUGAAAAAGAACCUGAAACCGUGUACGUACAAGCAGUGGGAGCCUCUUAAUGGGGUGACUGCGUACCUUUUGUAUAAUGGGUCAGCGACUUAUAUUCUGUAGCAAGGUUAACCGAAUAGGGGAGCCGAAGGGAAACCGAGUCUUAACUGGGCGUUAAGUUGCAGGGUAUAGACCCGAAACCCGGUGAUCUAGCCAUGGGCAGGUUGAAGGUUGGGUAACACUAACUGGAGGACCGAACCGACUAAUGUUGAAAAAUUAGCGGAUGACUUGUGGCUGGGGGUGAAAGGCCAAUCAAACCGGGAGAUAGCUGGUUCUCCCCGAAAGCUAUUUAGGUAGCGCCUCGUGAAUUCAUCUCCGGGGGUAGAGCACUGUUUCGGCAAGGGGGUCAUCCCGACUUACCAACCCGAUGCAAACUGCGAAUACCGGAGAAUGUUAUCACGGGAGACACACGGCGGGUGCUAACGUCCGUCGUGAAGAGGGAAACAACCCAGACCGCCAGCUAAGGUCCCAAAGUCAUGGUUAAGUGGGAAACGAUGUGGGAAGGCCCAGACAGCCAGGAUGUUGGCUUAGAAGCAGCCAUCAUUUAAAGAAAGCGUAAUAGCUCACUGGUCGAGUCGGCCUGCGCGGAAGAUGUAACGGGGCUAAACCAUGCACCGAAGCUGCGGCAGCGACACUAUGUGUUGUUGGGUAGGGGAGCGUUCUGUAAGCCUGUGAAGGUGUACUGUGAGGUAUGCUGGAGGUAUCAGAAGUGCGAAUGCUGACAUAAGUAACGAUAAAGCGGGUGAAAAGCCCGCUCGCCGGAAGACCAAGGGUUCCUGUCCAACGUUAAUCGGGGCAGGGUGAGUCGACCCCUAAGGCGAGGCCGAAAGGCGUAGUCGAUGGGAAACAGGUUAAUAUUCCUGUACUUGGUGUUACUGCGAAGGGGGGACGGAGAAGGCUAUGUUGGCCGGGCGACGGUUGUCCCGGUUUAAGCGUGUAGGCUGGUUUUCCAGGCAAAUCCGGAAAAUCAAGGCUGAGGCGUGAUGACGAGGCACUACGGUGCUGAAGCGACAAAUGCCCUGCUUCCAGGAAAAGCCUCUAAGCAUCAGGUAACAUCAAAUCGUACCCCAAACCGACACAGGUGGUCAGGUAGAGAAUACCAAGGCGCUUGAGAGAACUCGGGUGAAGGAACUAGGCAAAAUGGUGCCGUAACUUCGGGAGAAGGCACGCUGAUAUGUAGGUGAAGCGACUUGCUCGUGGAGCUGAAAUCAGUCGAAGAUACCAGCUGGCUGCAACUGUUUAUUAAAAACACAGCACUGUGCAAACACGAAAGUGGACGUAUACGGUGUGACGCCUGCCCGGUGCCGGAAGGUUAAUUGAUGGGGUUAGCGGUAACGCGAAGCUCUUGAUCGAAGCCCCGGUAAACGGCGGCCGUAACUAUAACGGUCCUAAGGUAGCGAAAUUCCUUGUCGGGUAAGUUCCGACCUGCACGAAUGGCGUAAUGAUGGCCAGGCUGUCUCCACCCGAGACUCAGUGAAAUUGAACUCGCUGUGAAGAUGCAGUGUACCCGCGGCAAGACGGAAAGACCCCGUGAACCUUUACUAUAGCUUGACACUGAACAUUGAGCCUUGAUGUGUAGGAUAGGUGGGAGGCUUUGAAGUGUGGACGCCAGUCUGCAUGGAGCCGACCUUGAAAUACCACCCUUUAAUGUUUGAUGUUCUAACGUGGGCCCCUUACCGGGGUUGCGGACAGUGUCUGGUGGGUAGUUUGACUGGGGCGGUCUCCUCCUAAAGAGUAACGGAGGAGCACGAAGGUUGGCUAAUCCUGGUCGGACAUCAGGAGGUUAGUGCAAUGGCAUAAGCCAGCUUGACUGCGAGCGUGACGGCGCGAGCAGGUGCGAAAGCAGGUCAUAGUGAUCCGGUGGUUCUGAAUGGAAGGGCCAUCGCUCAACGGAUAAAAGGUACUCCGGGGAUAACAGGCUGAUACCGCCCAAGAGUUCAUAUCGACGGCGGUGUUUGGCACCUCGAUGUCGGCUCAUCACAUCCUGGGGCUGAAGUAGGUCCCAAGGGUAUGGCUGUUCGCCAUUUAAAGUGGUACGCGAGCUGGGUUUAGAACGUCGUGAGACAGUUCGGUCCCUAUC